AGUGAACGCUGGCGGUAGGCCUAACACAUGCAAGUCGAACGGCAGCACAGUAAGAGCUUGCUCUUACGGGUGGCGAGUGGCGGACGGGUGAGGAAUACAUCGGAAUCUACUUUUUCGUGGGGGAUAACGUAGGGAAACUUACGCUAAUACCGCAUACGACCUACGGGUGAAAGCAGGGGAUCUUCGGACCUUUCGCGAUUGAAUGAGCCGAUGUCGGAUUAGCUAGUUGGCGGGGUAAAGGCCCACCAAGGCGACGAUCCGUAGCUGGUCUGAGAGGAUGAUCGGCCACACUGGAACUGAGACACGGUCCAGACUCCGACGGGAGGCAGCAGUGGGGAAUAUUGCACAAGGGGCGAAAGCCUGACGGAGCAACACCGCGGGGGUGAAGAAGGCCUUCGGUUUGUAAACCUCUUUUAUGGGGAAAGAAAAGAAGUGGAUUAAACCCUGCAUAUCUUGACGGUACCUAAUCAGAAGGCCACGGCUAACUCCGUG
rnacentral:rRNA from 1 species